GGGGAAUAUUGGACAAUGGGGGUAACCCUGAUCCAGCAAUGCCGCGUGUGUGAAGAAGGCCUGCGGGUUGUAAAGCACUUUCAAUCGGGAAGAAAAGGGGUUUGUUAAUAGCGGACCUCCUUUACGUUACUGAUACAAGAAGCACCGGCUAACUCCGUGCCAGCAGCCGCGGUAAUACGGAGGGUGCAAGCGUUAAUCGGAAUUACUGGGCGUAAAGCGCACGUAGGCGGUAAGUUAAGUCAGAUGUGAAAGCCCCGGGCUCAACCUGGGAACUGCAUUUGAAACUGGCUUGCUAGAGUUUGGUAGAGGAAAGUGGAAUUCCGGGUGUAGCGGUGAAAUGCGUAGAUAUCCGGAGGAACACCAGUGGCGAAGGCGACUUUCUGGACCAAAACUGACGCUGAGGUGCGAAAGCGUGGGUAGCAAAC
rnacentral:rRNA from 1 species